AGUGGCCUGGUGGUUCAAACAUCCGCCUAAAUAUCCAGAGGAUGCGGGUUCAAAUCUC
rnacentral:tRNA from 11 species